GACGAACGCUGGCGGCGUGCUUAACACAUGCAAGUCGAACGGAAAGGCCCUGCUUUUGUGGGGUGCUCGAGUGGCGAACGGGUGAGUAACACGUGAGUAACCUGCCCUUGACUUUGGGAUAACUUCAGGAAACUGGGGCUAAUACCGGAUAGGAGCUCCUGCUGCAUGGUGGGGGUUGGAAAGUUUCGGCGGUUGGGGAUGGACUCGCGGCUUAUCAGCUUGUUGGUGGGGUAGUGGCUUACCAAGGCUUUGACGGGUAGCCGGCCUGAGAGGGUGACCGGCCACAUUGGGACUGAGAUACGGCCCAGACUCCUACGGGAGGCAGCAGUGGGGAAUAUUGCACAAUGGGCGGAAGCCUGAUGCAGCAACGCCGCGUGCGGGAUGACGGCCUUCGGGUUGUAAACCGCUUUCGCCUGUGACGAAGCGUGAGUGACGGUAAUGGGUAAAGAAGCACCGGCUAACUACGUGCCAGCAGCCGCGGUGAUACGUAGGGUGCGAGCGUUGUCCGGAUUUAUUGGGCGUAAAGGGCUCGUAGGUGGUUGAUCGCGUCGGAAGUGUAAUCUUGGGGCUUAACCCUGAGCGUGCUUUCGAUACGGGUUGACUUGAGGAAGGUAGGGGAGAAUGGAAUUCCUGGUGGAGCGGUGGAAUGCGCAGAUAUCAGGAGGAACACCAGUGGCGAAGGCGGUUCUCUGGGCCUUUCCUGACGCUGAGGAGCGAAAGCGUGGGGAGCGAACAGGCUUAGAUACCCUGGUAGUCCACGCUGUAAACGGUGGGUACUAGGUGUGGGGUCCAUUCCACGGGUUCCGUGCCGUAGCUAACGCUUUAAGUACCCCGCCUGGGGAGUACGGCCGCAAGGCUAAAACUCAAAGGAAUUGACGGGGCCCCGCACAAGCGGCGGAGCAUGCGGAUUAAUUCGAUGCAACGCGUAGAACCUUACCUGGGUUUGACAUGGAUCGGGAGCGCUCAGAGAUGGGUGUGCCUCUUUUGGGGUCGGUUCACAGGUGGUGCAUGGCUGUCGUCAGCCCGUGUCGUGAGAUGUUGGGUUAAGUCCCGCAACGAGCGCAACCCUUGUUCACUGUUGCCAGCACGUUAUGGUGGGGACUCAGUGGAGACCGCCGGGGUCAACUCGGAGGAAGGUGGGGAUGACGUCAAGUCAUCAUGCCCCUUACGUCCAGGGCUUCACGCAUGCUACAAUGGCUGGUACAGAGAGUGGCGAGCCUGUGAGGGUGAGCGAAUCUCGGAAAGCCGGUCUCAGUUCGGAUUGGGGUCUGCAACUCGACCUCAUGAAGUCGGAGUCGCUAGUAAUCGCAGAUCAGCAACGCUGCGGUGAAUACGUUCCCGGG
rnacentral:rRNA from 1 species